GGGCAGAGGGGAAAGUCCACGGAGUGGGAGGUCUUGGCUGCACAGGGAGAGCUACCUGAUUUUCCCUUAGGCCCCAGCACCCUGUACAUUCUGGAGAUGACAGCGGGAAGAGGCCCCUUCCUGAACUUUUGUCUCUUGAGGCCUGGGUCCAGUUGGAGAGCCGUCCCCCUGAGGGGAGAUGGCCUGAAAUGGCACAAGGGGAAGAGCAGCAGACACGACCCUGGUUCUGGUCCUUCAACUGUGAACCUGAGCUGUGGGCAACGCAACCUUCCCCAUCAAGGUUAAGGAGCAGGUGUCUGAAAGUAGCACCUGCUGUAUACACCCUCGGGAGUUAGAAAUCUCUGUUCCCUCACAUACCCAGCAAAGCACCCCUCACCUCCGGAACCGAGACUGAGUACCUUGAAAUGAAAUGGCAGGCCCGGGUCAGGGGCUGGGGAGCGGGAUUUGCCUGCGAUAGGCCUUCCCCCAGGAGAGAACAGCAGCAAGUUUCUUUCCAGGGCUGGGCCCUGCUUUCCUCACCAGGUGGGGAAUGUUCUUUCAGCCACAAAGGAGGUACAUCUGUGACUGCUGUCUUUUUCUUUU